AAGAGAGAGAGAGAAAUGGGGUGAAAGGGCCCCACGUGGCCUUAAUUCCCCUGCGAACUCCUUCCACCGCCACACAUUUCUUUCUUCUUUCUUUGUUCCUUUCCUUCUUUGUUUUGUUUGGGGGCUGGAGAGAACUGAGAAACAGAGGACGAGAAAAAAGAGAGACAGAAUAGAGCGAGCUGUAGAAGAAACGAAGGAGGAGAGGAAGGUUAGGCUCGGGUUCUUGAAGUAAAUUGACUCUUCUCACCUUAGAUGUUUUUAUCAUUAGUGUAGAUGCGGAUUGAGCUGGUUUUACUUCGUUCUAGCUCGGUUGGGGUUUCGACUAGUGAUAUGGAAUUUGAUGUGGGUCGGUUAUUUAUCACUUAGGUAUUUUUAUUAAUCAGGUUUACAAGCAAAUUAAGGUUUAGUUUGAUUGAUUUCAGCUUAGUUAAGCUAUAGCCUAUUGAUCGAAUAACUGGAGGAAUGAAUUGUUAAUGAGUUAGCUAGGGUUCCGAUUAUUGAUAUUGAAUUGAAGUGUUCGGCUUUUCCAAUUGCUAUUGGAUAUAUUGUUUGAUUGAUUGAGUUGUAUUUUAUAGUUUUGGGUUCUACAUGAAGGAAUUUUAUGAUGCUUUGUUGUGUACUUAUAUCAUUGGACUAUUAUAUUAUGCUAUGUGCUAAAAAACGAAAUUUAGUGAGGAUAUUUUUCCUGUUUUGAGAUUUAAUUCCGCCUUAGGGUAUUUGUAGUGAUAUAUGCUUGAUGAUUAUAUGUUUGUAUAUCUUAUUUCCUGAUUUUUGUUGUUUUUGGUUGAUGGCAAAGACAAUAGAGCGAGCUAGAUAUCAUUUACUUUUAUAUCAAAGCCUAACUGAUGGUUAUAAGGAAAUAUUUAAGUGCUUGCUGAUUUAGUGGUUGUACUGAGAGUUGGUUUUCCAUUAAAGUUGUUGUUCAUGUGUGCUUUGCUAAAUUGUGAGAUGAAAGUAAUGGAAGUGUGAAGAGCUAGAUAUCCACAUGGGUUUGUGAGACUGGUGGGGGAUGAUCUACUAUAGUCUUUCUCUGUAUAUUUGGAUGUGGCCCCUAAAACAUUAUACCUAUUUUUGGAUUAUCAACAUUCUAAGUUAGUAUUUAGCUUAGAGAAAUUAUUAUAAAAUUUUAUAAAUAAUAUUGGGUAGGCAAUGCUAGGAGAUUAUGCUUUGCCGCCUUAAGUUUCAUGAUGUCGGAUUUCUUGUAUAGAGUAUUAUUUGGUUGUUGCUAUUAUUGUGAUUAUAUAUUUUUGGUCUUUUAUGAAUCUCUCAUUUACCUAGAAAUUGACAAUAACAAUCAGGAUUGUUUAAAUGGGAAUUAUGGAGAUUGUUAAGUAGUUUUUGACAUAGAUGAGAAAUGGACAUAAUGAAUAUGAUAUAAAUCAAAACUUAUUGGAAAUAAUAGAUUCUAAAGAAGAUUGUGGCAGGUACAGGAAGCCGUAAUGGUGUUAUAUUAAUUAUUCUCUAAAUUUAUAUUUGCAAAUCAUAGGGAUCAAGGGGACUGAAUUCUUGCACUCUGAAGGUUCGACCCAGUGAGCUAUCUUUCUUGGAGUUGUCGAUGAGUACUUCAUUUUAUUGUGAAAUGAUAUAUUAUAGUUACAUAAAUUAUUUAAGAAGAAUAUUGUGAUAGAUUAAGGAAUCGGUUUUGCUAUGUUGUGUAAAAGGAUUUGAGAGAUGUUGUCCUUUUAUGUUUUAUUUUGAUUUGAGAUAUGCAAUGUGAUUGUAUAUGUAGGUUGUGUAUGAGAUAUGUGAUGAUGAUGUGAUACCAUUGUAAUGUGAUUGUGAUUGUACUUGUGUAUAUUGAUAUUAUUUGAUUAUGGCCAUGGAACCGUUGGACUUGGCAGAAUAGAAAAGGGGGCCCAAACGGUCGCUGGACCCGACGGAAUAUAAAAUGGGGCCCUAAUGACUGCUAGACCCGGCGGAAUAUAAAUUGAGGGAUACAAAAAGUCCAUCCACGAGCUCAGGAUUUAUGGGAAAGCUUAUGUGGAAGCUUUUUCAUAACAAGAAUAUAACGUCUCUUUGGUCAGGGUAGGUACAUCACCAAGCUACUCAUAGCGCAUCGGGGAUGCGGUUAACAGGACAGAUUUUGUUGCGUCCCGCAUUGCUCAAUAUAGAAGCACGGGCUUCUGCUGCCUUAGAAACAUCUUGGUGGAGCGACCAUAUUAGAAUUUUUCACAAAAGUAACAUGGCCUUCUUUGGAGUCCACUGCCAUAAUCGAGCAUAGAUAUAGCAGCUGCAAUUGGAUUCAUUAGUAUUGUUGUCGUCGGAUUAUAGAUGCUUAAAUAUCAAGAAAACUCGGAUAAUAACUUUGGUUAUCAGAACCUGACCCCAAGUAUUUGAUCUUGUAGUAAGCAAUAUGAGCUAUAUGCUUGGUCCUUGCAGAGGCCUCAUGUGACUAUUUAUCUAUAUAUUAAGUAAUUCAAAGUAUUCA